GAUAAUUGCCGAGUCUAAGGCCAUUCUCACUUGCACGCAGGGUUUCAGGUCUCUUCUUACUAAUAGACAUCUAUCUCGCCAACGACAAUUUCCUGGUGGAUGCAAGGGGGAUUUCACACAGUGUGUCUGGUCUGGGUGACUCUUUGUGGGUUUGUUUUGACUUAAUUCAUCUGUACUGAUAAAAAUGAAUCCCCCCAAAAUCAUCCUCAUAAUUUCUAUAACAGUUUAGAAUAAUAGAGUAAAGCACAUUACACUGAAAAGACAAGAGGGAGACAAUGUGUAGAUGAGCUGAAUCAUCUAUUUUCUGUGCUAUUUGAAUGGCAGUAAGAAAUCAUAUAUUCAUAUCAUGCGUCAAAACCAUAGUAACUUUCUAGGAUGGCCCUCCCGUUUUCAAUUACACACUUUCCCUGUGAGAUGUCUAGACUUUCACUUGGUUACAUCAGGCUGAUCUGUAAUCAGUAUUUCUCAUACUUACUGUUACUGGCUAUGUUCCUAAGCAUCUCUCAGAGUGGAGACUAAGACAAUCCAGUGAAAAGCACCUUCGAAUUGUUCACAGUAGCAAUAGAGCAGCUGCUGUGGUACCAAAGUUGUGACACCCAAUGCAAUGUUUUUAUGGUUCUUUCCGCCAUCAAACACAGCGCGAUGUGGUAAUUGCUGCCAGGGAGACGCGCAGAAGAUAUGUUGGAUGUAGAGCAGAUGGGAGCCUAACGAGCCCGGCGGAAAUAAGAAAGACUUCAUUGAAAAGAUGGGCCUGCUCUGAGCACCGCAGACCAUGAUCCGUAUUUCUCUCCGUGCCUAGCACCUCUAUUACUCUUAGGUGUCAGCAGUCAUCAGUCAUUACCUUGUCUUUCUAAUGCAGGCAUCCUGCACAGGUAAAAUCCUGUGACGAGGACUAGGGGACACCAUCUUCUGGGCGUAACACAAUUAUUGUUACUAUAAAUGAGCAUCAGCCAUGGUUUCUUGCACUGGGCCUGCACAAGACCGGCCAUAUCAAUAAUCUGUCAGAAUGGAGGACAGGUUCACGGGACCACAACACUCUGUACUAGUCAGGGUUUUCUAUACUAACAGAACUGAUCAAAUGAAUAUAUAUUAAAAGGGGGUCUGUUAAGUGGCUUACAGGCUGCGGUCCAGCUAGUCUAACAGUGUCUCAUCCAGAUGAAAAGGCCAAGAGUCUGGUAGUUGUUCAGUGUGGGUUUCUCCGAUGGUUUUCAGGUUUAUUUUGAACCUCAGGUAGGCUGGUUCUAAUACCGGAAAGGAUUGCCUCUGCACAGAAGACACGAACUUGCCAGCAAGAUUGAGGGCAAGCAGGCCCAAACCAAAAUGCCUCCUUCUUCUAUGUGGGCUGCCAUCAGAAGGUGUGGCCUUCCUACCUCAGAUGGUCCAAAAAUGGAAACCCCUCACAGGUGUACUUGGGUCUUAGCAGAUUCCAGAUGUGCUCAAUUAACAACCAAGCUGACUCAUCACGCCCUUCUUGCUGAACUAUUGACCAUGGGUAGAUUCUGAUAGAUGGACGAUUAUUAAUUUAGUUGGGUACCCACUGGUGACUCCACUAGCCCCAAUGGAAAGCUGCAAACAUGGUUUCCCAGGAGGCCCUGGUUAAGCUAAUUGGACCAUUAAACGAGAAAAAGACAUGAACCUGGGGAAGGAAUUUUGUAGAAAGAAGCUGAUGGGGUAUGAUGGAGACAGAGGGUGGAGGGGAGAGUGUAUUCAGAAUGUGUUAUAUACAUGGAUGAUGUUGUCAAAGAACAUAUUUAGUAGUCAAAAAACAACAACACAUGGACAAUAACUGCUCAGAUCAAGAAAACUGGGGAAUAGACACCAAACACCUGACUGCUCCAAGCACAGUCUAAACCCAGCAUCCUGGUCAUUGACUGAGAAAACAUCUACUCACCCACAUCUACUGUGUCUGAGUUCUAGAUCUUCCUGGCAUUCCUCAGAGCGAGUCACUUCUGAGUGCAUUCCAGGCUCUGACUUCUUGAUUAUUCCUUGUCCAUCCUUUUCUCUUUUGGAAAUUUAUAUAUAUUUAUGGAUUUCUUGAUGUUAAGUUUUUCCUGUCAGUUUUCAGGGUUUAGAGCAAAAGUAUACAGAAUCUCAUGUUCUCAGAACACCACCUUGACCCAGUGCCAAAUUGAAACUUUUAUGAGACUGGAACCAUAAGAAUAUGUAUAAAGCCUAUUACAAAUGCUUCCCAAAUGUGCUUGACCUUUUUUUUUUAAAUCUCUUUACAUUGGAAUAAUACUUCUGAAUACAAGGCAUUUUCAUGUAACUUAUCCAUUAUGUGCUAAUGUAGCUGGUUUUUUCCUUGCCCUUUAUAAAUGAUAGUGUCAUGUGCCAGUGAGGAGCAUGAAAUACAGCUAAAAUAUAAGGUACAUAUACCUUAUAUAUUGAAAUAUAUAGUUCAUGUAUAUAGAAGGACACCUUUCUCUUGAACCGUGGUGGGAAGCUGAGUUUAGGACAGAUACCAGGAAGAAAAGACCAGAUUUUGGGAGGCCAGUAAGGCUUCUGCAACUGUCUGAGCUCUAAGCAGUGAGAUGCAGGAUUAAACAGCACAGACAGGAAGGCAUAAAUGUUCAAAGAAACACAUGGCAGAUGUUGGGUAACAUGUUGGCAGUGACCCUUGGGAGACAACAAGGCUCCGGUGUCCUCUGAAGGAGACAGGCAUCUUCUGUGGAGACAGAGAGUUCACAGGAAAGGUGUGAACUCUCUCAGUGUGCUUCCUAGUGCCUUAAGUCAGUUAUGACAGCCCAGGAUCCGGCAUAAGGUGACUUCAUCUUGGGCCACACUCAGGAAGCUACAUUUCUGGAUUCCUAGAAGGCUUUUAUUACGGAAUAAUUUUUCCGUUUAACACGGUUGUGCAACUUUCGUGUAAUGGGAUCAUAAGCAAAGCCUCCAGAGUAUUUGCCUGUCUUGAAAAUUAGCCCGCAGACCCGGAAGUUCAAAGAACGCCGCGAGAACAGAAAAAAAAAUCGAACGGAUGGGAACCGAAACUGUCAAUAAAAUGUUCACCGUGACCCGCGUAUUGAUCUUCACUUAGUUCACGUCCACUGUUCCAAGGAUCCACACCGUGAUAACUGUAGUAGAACGGCCUGAUUAAAGAGCCUGGGCAGACAGCUGCCUGCGGGACGGUAGAUAUUUUUGGACUUCUCAGUAAGGUUCCUGUGAUCAUUCCGCUUUCAGCGUGGCCAGGUUUGACCUCCUCUUUCAGACAUUGGAAAAAAUAAGCAACUGCAGAUCUCAUGUAACCCUCCCACGUCUUCAUCUCAUCUCUCCUUUUAAAAGAUAGCCCACAAAGUCCAAUUUGUGCUGCGCAAAUAUUCACGAGUGGGGGACCAUUCCCUCGAAGCCAUGUCAAGCUAUGAGGAGGCCACAUCCUUAAGGGAAAAUGUCUCCCCUCCCUCCAGAAGUCACCAACUGUCAACACCUCCACAGCUAGGGAUAGAAGCUUGUGAGCCCCUGCACACCUCAUGCUGAACGUCGACUGCCCUGAUCCUAGGCAGGCGACCACAGCUGCUAUGGGACCACAGUGCAGCAUCCUGCCAUGUCCAGAGAAUACCGCUUCACUCUCGUCCUCCCUGACUCCUGGCUCUUAGACUUUCCGGCCCCUCCUAUAAACCGGUCCCCGAGCCUUGGAGUGAGGGGAUGAAGAAGCCUCAUUUCCGGUCUGAGUACUCUACGCCACUUUCCCCCUGCAACCUGACGAGUUCUGUGUUUCUCCUGGUGAUGGUUGAUGCUCUACAAGUACGUAUCUUAACUGAAAAUGGAAGACAUUUUGCAGUAAUGAUGGCAGAAGCUUGUUCAGAGAACAGACGGUUGUAACUUUUUCAGCUUUGUUUGGGGUCAGAUAUUUGGCCAGCGUAGACCCACUUUUGGCAUAUAGAAAACAAUCACCCCUUCUAGCUCCCGGGAGCCUUGUGAAUGUGUAGACCUCUGUGAUGAGAGUUUUUCACAGAUGUUCCCAGUAUAGAACGUUUCUCCCAGUAUAAAACGUAUAAAAUGAAACUCUUCCAGGCGAUCCAGAUGUUCUGAACUUGGUGGGAAGAAAACACAGCUACACAAGAAGAGACAGGAUGCUAAGGGGAAAAAUAUCUCUGCUGGAAAGAGAGAAGAGACCAGGAGUAGGAGCCAGAGACAAGGAGUUCCUGUGUCCGGAGAAGGAUAAUUUCGUGAUCAGUCAUACAUUAUUACCUACUCUGUCUCCAAUAUUCUUACUCCUGGCUAAGGCCAGAGUAAGAAUCAAACCUCAGCCAUUUAGUUCAUGAAACAUUUAUUGGGCAUGCUCCAUUUUCCACUCAAGGCUAAGGUCUAUGGCAUUAAGAGUAAGGUGAGUAGUUCAGAGGUAGGAGAGCCACCCUUGGGGCUGGAGAACAAUGUGGCUCCUGAUUCUGUUUUCUUGUCUGUGAUGUGUGUUGCUUGUACUCACAGUAAAGCCAGUUCUAUACACUAA